GGAGGAGAAUCGCUCCCGGUGGGGCGGCUGGCCUUCAAAGCCAGAGAGGGCCGUUAGCCGGUCCUGGGUGGGUUCGACUCCCGCUCUCUUCCGCCA
rnacentral:tRNA from 3 species